GUUCCGUAGGUGAACCUGCGGAAGGAUCAUUCAUAAUAAAGUGUUUUAUGGCACUUUUUAAAAAUCCAUAUCCACCUUGUGUGCAAUGUUAGAUCUCGUCAAUCUUGGCGAGAUUUUUAUACAUCAACUCAUUCUUUAACUAAUUCGUCUGAAAAAUGUUAUGAAUACUUAAUUCAAAAUACAACUUUCAACAACGGAUCUCUUGGCUCUC
rnacentral:misc_RNA from 1 species